ensembl:lncRNA
CUUUGAGAAUGAGUGUGACGUCCAGAGAAAGUGUCCAUGAAGGAACCCUGCACAGCGGGCUUCCGGGAAGACGUGCUGGACACACAGCCCUCGGUGAAGAGAGUCUCCCGGCAGCGGUGAUGCUGUAACAAUAGGUGAGGCCCCGGCCCAGUCGAUGGGAAAGGCCAGGAGGCCUCCCGCUCUGCAGAUGUGCAGAGUGACCCCAGGCUGCCCACUCCAGCUCAGGCCAUCAGAGAAGGGACAUGGAUCCACAGCGACAUUCUCCUGAGUCACCCUGCUGAGAACGUUGCAGGGACUCCAGGCCUGGUCACUGGUGGCCUCUUACAGAUAAAAAGCAGCUGUUCUCUUUCAAAACUUGGCCUCUCAAAAUGUGAAGAUGUGUGA